CCCAGGAGCUGUGUGUGUCUGUGUGUCUGUCUACCUGGCAAGGAGAUAUGGCCCCCAUCAGACUGGAGCUCCACAGAGCAGGUCAAGCGAUUCUCCUGCCUCGGCCUCCCAAGGAACUGGAACCACAGGCGCGCGCCACUGCGCCCAAGGAUUUUCACUUUUAACUGUACAGUGAAGCACAGACUUCUGAGCCAGACUGCUUGGUCUGAACUCUGGUGUCACCACUUAGUAAGUUCUGGUUUGAAUGUACUCACUGAGUGGUCUUCAUAAAUUACCUCUCUGC
rnacentral:lncRNA from 10 species